CUGCCGCGAUCUGUUCAUUUUUUUUUUUCUUUCCCGCGCGCCUCACAGAAUAGCGCGGGAAAGGGAAAAAAAAUGAACAGAUCGCGGCAG